GGGGAUUUAGCUCAGUGGCAUAAGCACCUGCCUGGCAAGUGGGAGGUCGAAAGUUCAAUCCCCG
rnacentral:tRNA from 1 species